UACGAAGGUGGCAAGCGUUACUCGGAAUUACUAGGCGUAAAGGGCAGGUAGGUGGUUUGAUAAGCCUGUUGUGAAAGCUCCCGGCUUAACUGGGAGAGGUCAACAGAAACUAUCAGGCUUGAGUAUGGGAGAGGGUACUGGAAUUCCCGGUGUAGCGGUGAAAUGCGCAGAGAUCGGGAGGAACACCUAUGGCGAAGGCGGGUUGCUGGGCCGACACUGACGCUGAGGCGCGAAAGCUAGGGGAGCGAACGGG
rnacentral:rRNA from 1 species